rnacentral:rRNA from 1 species
GACGAACGCUGGCGGCGUGCCUAAUACAUGCAAGUCGAACGCUUCUUUCCUCCCGAGUGCUUGCACUCUAUUGGAAAGAGGAGUGGCGGACGGGUGAGUAACACGUGGGUAACCUACCCAUCAGAGGGGGAUAACACUUGGAAACAGGUGCUAAUACCGCAUAACAGUUUAUGCCGCAUGGCAUAAGAGUGAAAGGCGCUUUCGGGUGUCGCUGAUGGAUGGACCCGCGGUGCAUUAGCUAGUUGGUGAGGUAACGGCUCACCAAGGCCACGAUGCAUAGCCGACCUGAGAGGGUGAUCGGCCACACUGGGACUGAGACACGGCCCAGACUCCUACGGGAGGCAGCAGUAGGGAAUCUUCGGCAAUGGACGAAAGUCUGACCGAGCAACGCCGCGUGAGUGAAGAAGGUUUUCGGAUCGUAAAACUCUGUUGUUAGAGAAGAACAAGGACGUUAGUAACUGAACGUCCCCUGACGGUAUCUAACCAGAAAGACACGGCUAACUACGUG